GUGUGUUUUGGGGUGACUCAUGUUGGAAGCAAAGUAAAUAAACAUACUUCACCUCACCUCCAUACUGGGAAGGGAGGAGGCUGGGAACUGAGAAGCCUCAGUUCCUGAAGGUGGAUGUGGUCCAGAACUCCUGGGUCCUGACAGAGCAGAGGCCUCAGGGCCUGGACUCUUGGGUCUGAGGGACAAGGGGCUGGGGGCCUGAACUCUGGUUCCUAACAGAGGAGGGAGAGGUGGCUCGGAUUCCUGGGUCGGAGGGAGGGCUGGGGUCCAGAUUCUUGGGUUAGGCUGAGUGGAGGAGGGGUCCUGGGAUUCCUGACUGCUCAGUUCAUGAGGAGUGAAAGAGCUGGGGACUUGGCUGCCUGAGUCACCAAAAUGUCCCUGUAACAGGCCUGGCGGGAUUGGAGGUGACUCAGUGAGGGAAGCAGUGUUUGAGCCGGGUGGGGUUCCCAGCACAGGUAUCACCCCAAAAAUGUAGGAGGUACUGGAAAAUUGGGGUGUCACCUGCAGAGAAGGUAGUGUUGUCACUCCACUGGGUAUUGGUAUGGGGUGAUGUCAGGUGGAUCACCCUGUUGGCUUGGGAUCCCAGCUUUCCCUCUACUUCCUGAUCCAACACCCCAGGACCCAAGCCUUGGUGUCCUGGCACCACCCAGAUGGCUUGCUGUCGUCGCCCUCAGUCUGUGUGCAGCACUCUGCAGCCACCCUGGAGCCUGAGCAUCUUGGGGGUCUGCCCUCUCCACCUCUCAUGUCCCUGUCCCUAUCUCUGCAUCUCUGUCUCUCCAGCUCUGAACCUCUAGUGUCUCUGUCUCCCAUCUCCACAUCUCUGUCUCUCCAGCUCUGAACCUUUCUUUCUUUAUCUCUGCUAAUCUGUUUCCUAAUUUCUCUGGUUCUCUGUCUUCCCAGCUCUGAAUCUCUCUCCUCCUCCCAAGUUCUGUGUCCCUUGCCCUUACCCUGGGGUAUCUGUCUCCUAGCCCAGCAUCCUGCCCGCCAUCUGCAGGCCGGCCCUGGCUCCCAGCCAUCCAGCCCAGGGGCUGCAGGUGACUCAGGGCCAGGCAUCUCUGAGGACCCCAGGACUCCCAGGAUGACAACCUGAGCUGUCCUCAAGUUCUCUUUCCCCACUCUGACGCAGCCUGGGGGCGGCGAUUAGAAUCCACAGAAGGGGCUCACAGGCCCUGGAUCCUUGAAACUCAGGAGUCCAGCCUCCCAUCCCUUUUCUCCCCAGAAUCCAGGAGUCCGAGUCAGCUCUGCAGCCCGUUGCCCAAUGUGGAUUGCACAAGGCCCCGCCUCAGGACCCAGAACUCUUGCCUGGGGAUAAAGCCUGGCUCCAAUCCUAUAAAUAGCCACGAAAAGUCUUGAACCUCAAAUAUGUCAUCCCUGGCAGGCCAGCGACUCUUGGGAUCCAGAAGUCUCUGUCCCUAGACCCCGACCCUACAAGUUCCUAGCUCCUUCCUCCAAGACCCAAGUGUCCAGGCUCUCAGAUCCAGCAGUCUGGGUUCCUCGGCCGCUCCUCUCUCAGGUCCUCAGUCCCUUCCUCCCUUCGGAACCGAAGGAUCGAGCCAGCCAACAGCCAGGUACAUCGCUCCCUUCUGCAAUACACCACGCCCUCAGCCACCUCCAGCGUCUGCAUUUCCAGGGGCGGGUCCGAUUUGGGAGCGCGCCUCUAGAUUCUAGUUGUGAUAAGCUACUGCUGACGUCAGUCAAUAUUUUCCAGCCAAUAGACACUCCGACUCCUACCUCCCAGGGCUACUCUCGGUGCUUUUCCCUGAUAGGCCCCCCCACAGCCCAAGGCGGACAGCGAUAGGCUUCUGAAGACGCUAGUUUUGGCCAGUCCCGGCCAGUCUGCCAAUAGGCCGGCGCCUGCGGAGUGCAGCUCGCGGUCCGCUUCGUCGAGGCUGGAGCGCUAACGAGGCAGCAGGCUCGGCGGGUCCGGCCGGUGUUCCCCGAAGGACACCAGCCCAAUGGAGAUGGUCUGCAGGAACGGCCGGAUGGCGGGUGUGAACUGUGGAGAGAGGCUGCUGGGUCACCAGCCACCAGGAGAGGCACCCGGAGCAGGCGGGAAUGAGGGUCAGAGACAUGAGGGGGACGCGGUCAUUCAGCAGACAGUGGGCUCCUCCUGGGUGUCAGACACUGUUCUGGGCACCCUCAUGGAGCUGAUGUUGUCAAAGGGAAGACACAGUAUGCACUCGAAGACAGUAGGUGAAGGGGACACGAGUGGUGACUAGGGGUCAGGCUAGUUAGACGGGUCUCCAGGAGGGGACGUGAGGAUGUAUCCAUGACUCGAGUGCAGACUGUUCCCUUCAGAGGGUGCAGCAAGCACAAAGGCUCUGAGGUGGCCUGAGCUUGGCAUGGAUAAUGUGCAUGGCUGUAGUGGGAGUGAGCCAGGGGAGAGGGGCAGAGGGUGAGAGACGCCAAGGGGGCUCACGUAGGGCCUGAGGAAUUUGCAUUUCUUCCAAAUGGGGGUGGAACCAUAGAGGGUGGUGAGUUGUAAGAUGACAUGGAUUUCCUGAAAGUCAGCGAUAACAGAGCUCUGAUGCCAGACAGGCAGUGGGGACCGGUUAUGGGGCAGCAGGAAGACAGAUGGGAGAUGGUCAGAGACAGACAGGGCCAAGGACCUUGAGUCAGAAAGACAGCCAAAUGGGGAGACACAAAGUCUGAGAGAGAAGCCAGGCAUCUAAGAAAAGACAAUGGGGAGACAAGAUCAGAGAAAAAAAGCCACAGGAGGCUGGGCAAGGGGCCAGCCAGGUUCUUCCAUUCACUCAGCAAAU